rnacentral:rRNA from 1 species
UAGGGAAUCUUCCGCAAUGGGCGAAAGCCUGACGGAGCAACGCCGCGUGAGUGAUGAAGGUCUUCGGAUCGUAAAACUCUGUUAUUAGGGAAGAACAAAUGUGUAAGUAACUAUGCACGUCUUGACGGUACCUAAUCAGAAAGCCACGGCUAACUACGUGCCAGCAGCCGCGGUAAUACGUAGGUGGCAAGCGUUAUCCGGAAUUAUUGGGCGUAAAGCGCGCGUAGGCGGUUUUUUAAGUCUGAUGUGAAAGCCCACGGCUCAACCGUGGGGGGUCAUUGGAAACUGGAAAACUUGAGUGCAGAAGAGGAAAGUGGAAUUCCAUGUGUAGCGGUGAAAUGCGGAGAGAUAUGGAGGAACACCAGUGGGGAAGGCGACUUUCUGGUCUGUAACUGACGCUGAUGUGCGAAAGCGUGGGGAUCAAACAGG